ACCGUGUUUGAAGGAGGGCAUUCCUGUCCGAAAAACAAAAUCCCUGUGAUGAAGCUAAAAAGGAGCAAUGGCGGAACGAAAGGAACUAAACUCAUUAGAGGCCUCAAAAACCUCAAAAACCCUCUCUCUCUCUCUCUGUCUCAUUCAGACACACUCACACACUGACUGAAGAAGGGUAGUAGCAGUAACUUCACAGCAGAAAAAAAUGGCGACCCAUCUCCCCGACUACUUCAAGUGUCCAAUCUCCCUGGAAAUAAUGUCGGACCCUGUCAUCCUCUCUUCGGGUCACACCUUCGACCGUUCCUCAAUUCAACGUUGGCUCGAUGCGGGUCACCGAACAUGUCCAAUUACCAAACUACCCCUUCCCGACCACCCCUCCCUCAUCCCCAACCACGCGCUGCGAAGCUUAAUCUCCAACUACACAUUCCUCUCCCCUCUCCACCAAACAAUUUCCCAACCCGAAACCCUAAUUUCAACCCUCACUUCCAAUUCUUCAUCCUCCGAUUCCAAAAUUGAGGCCCUUAAGCACCUCACGCGCUUAUCGAAGCGCGAUUCGGCGUUCCGCCGGAGGCUGGCGGAGUCCGGCGCCGUCCCCGCCGUGCUCGCCGCCGUGGACGACCCGAGCCUCCAGGAGAAGGCGCUCCCCCUGCUCCUCAACCUCACCCUCGACGACGACUCGAAAGUCGGCCUCGUCGCCGAGGGCGUGGUCGCGCGAGUGGUAGCGGUGCUCCUCCACGCGCCGUUCCCGGACUGCCGCGCCGUCGCGGCGACCAUCGUCACGAGCCUCGCGGUCGUGGAGGUGAACAAGGCCACCAUCGGCGCGUUCCCGGCGGCGAUCGCGGCGCUCGUGGCGAUCCUCCGCGACGGGGGCAAGGGGCGGGAGCGGAAGGAGGCUGCCACCGCGCUCUACGCGCUCUGCUCCUUUCCGGACAACCGGAGAAGAGCCGUGAGCUGCGGUGCGGUGCCGAUUCUCCUCACAAACGUCGGAAUUGGACUCGAACGGUGUGUUGAGGUGAUCGGCGUUUUGGCGAAGUGCAAAGAAGGGAGGGAGCAAAUGGAAUGUUAUGACGGUUGUGUUCAGAUUCUGGUUAACGUUUUGAGGAACGGAAGCUCGAGGGGGAUUCAAUAUGCGCUCUUUGCACUCACUUCGGUUUGUUCUUAUAGCCAAAGAAUGGUUAUGGUGGCUCUGGAAGAAGGGGGUCUAGAAGCUUCUCUUGGGUUUGUGGAAGAUGAUAAUGAGAAAGUGAGGAGGAAUGCAUGUAAUUUCAUUAAGGUUCUGCGUUUCAACCACAGUAGGGUGAGGUGAUGAUGAUGGAAAUGCGAAGUAUGUUUGUGAACUAAUCAGUUUUGAUGGGAAGUAAAAAAAAGAUUUGAUUGUCUCUCCUAUGUGGAGGCUAGAAUUUGAAGUCAAAUUGGUAAAGACUUAUGAGGCAUGGCUUUCAUUGAGCCAUAAUUGCCAUGGAUAGUUGAUUUUGACCGGAAGGCUCUGCCAUUAUUGUUUGCUGAUGGGGGAUCAGAAUUCUUCUACUUGUGAGGCAUGGCUUAACAUGGAGGAUAUCGACUUGCGACUCAGUUUUCUUUUCAAUUUUCAGUUUUCACCCAUAAAAUGUGUUCAGUAAUCAGUCAUUACCAAAAUAUGUAUUGCAAGUAAAACUUGCGCUUUUGAAUUGUGAUUUGUGACACACAUGUAAAGUUCGAGAAUUCAUUUUUGCAUAUAUGACUAUAUCUGGACUCUGAAUUGUUCUUGCAUAUAAGCAUAUAUGAAAUAAAUUCGUAAUCAAUGAAAUUUUAGAAAUCCAUCCCAUGU